UUGAAACACUACUUUCCAUUAGAUCCCCAAAGUUAAGCAACAUCAAGCCUGGUCAGUAGUUAGACGGGUGACUACUUGGGAAUACCAGGU